CGGGUGAUAGAGCAGUUGGUUAGCUUACUUGUCUGGGGGGCAAGUGGUCGCGGAUUCGAGUUCCGCUCACCCGA
rnacentral:tRNA from 1 species